rnacentral:lncRNA from 1 species
UUAACCAUAAAAUCAAGGUACUGCAUCUUAUUUGCAAUGAAUUGCUAUAAUUUUGUAGAGACUCCACAAAUAAAAUACUAAAUUACCCAAACAGUUGGCAAACAGAGACAACACUCUGUAGAUCUUUAUUUAUAUAUAAAUGCCAAAAGAUACAGUAGAAGGAAAUAUAAAAGAAAGCAAUAAAGAUGAUAAUAUCAUGUCAAACCUCCCCAGGAAAAGAUAGUAGUCCUUCCUAGACCUAGCAGCCUCUACAGACCAAAUGAAGACAAAAAGUUAACCUAGCCCCCAAUCCCGAUAAGGCCUUAUUUAUAGCUCUUUUCUCAUUCUUCCC